UCGAACGGGAAAACAGGGGCAACUCUGUGAGUACAGUGGCGUACGGGUGUGUAACACGUGACUACCUACCUUUUAGUGGGGGAUAACCCCGGGAAACCGGGGCUAAUACCGCAUAGCAUCGCAAGAUCAAAGGAGCAAUUCGCUGGAAGAGGGGGUCGCGGCUGAUUAGCUAGUUGGUGAGGUAACGGCUCACCAAGGCGAUGAUCGGUAGCCGGCCUGAGAGGGCGCACGGCCACACUGGAACUGAAACACGGUCCAGACUCCUACGGGAGGCAGCAGUGGGGAAUUUUGCGCAAUGGGGGAAACCCUGACGCAGCAACGCCGCGUGGAGGAUGAAGUCCCUUGGGACGUAAACUCCUUUCGACCCGGACGAUAAUGACGGUACGGGUGGAAGAAGCACCGGCUAACUUCGUGCCAGCAGCCGCGGUAAUACGAGGGGUGCAAGCGUUGUUCGGAAUUAUUGGGCGUAAAGGGCGCGUAGGCGGCGCGGUAAGUCACCUGUGAAAUCUCCCGGCUCAACUGGGAGCCUGCAGGCGAAACUGCCGUGCUGGAGUAUGGGAGAGGUGCGUGGAAUUCCCGGUGUAGCGGUGAAAUGCGUAGAUAUCAGGAGGAACACCUGUGGCGAAAGCGGCGCACUGGACCAUAACUGACGCUGAGGCGCGAAAGCUAGGGGAGCAAACAGGAUUAGAUACCCUGGUAGUCCUAGCCCUAAACUAUGGAUGCUUGGUGUAGCCGGUAC
rnacentral:rRNA from 1 species